rnacentral:rRNA from 1 species
GACGAACGCUGGCGGCGUGCUUAACACAUGCAAGUCGAACGAAGUGGCGCACGGGUGAGUAACGCGUAAGCAACCUGCCCUUCAGAGGGGGAAAACAGUUGGAAACGACCGCUAAUCCCGCAUACUGAAGGUGGGGUUUGUGUUUGAUGAGCUAGUGGGUGGGGUAACGGCCCACCAAGGCGAUGAUCAGUAGCCGGUCUGAGAGGAUGAACGGCCACAUUGGGACUGAGACACGGCCCAGACUCCUACGGGAGGCAGCAGUGGGGAAUAUUGCACAAUGGGCGCAAGCCUGAUGCAGCCAUGCCGCGUGUAUGAAGAAGGCCUUCGGGUUGUAAAGUACUUUCAGCAAGGAGCGUUACUCGCAGAAGAAGCACCGGCUAACUCCGUGCCAGCCGCCGCGGUAAUAC